UUGAACGCUGGCGGCAGGCUUAACACAUGCAAGUCGAACGGUAACAGGAAUCAGCUUGCUGAUUCGCUGACGAGUGGCGGACGGGUGAGUAAUGUCUGGGAAACUGCCUGAUGGAGGGGGAUAACUACUGGAAACGGUAGCUAAUACCGCAUAACGUCGCAAGACCAAAGAGGGGGACCUUCGGGCCUCUUGCCAUCGGAUGUGCCCAGAUGGGAUUAGCUAGUAGGUGGGGUAACGGCUCACCUAGGCGACGAUCCCUAGCUGGUCUGAGAGGAUGACCAGCCACACUGGAACUGAGACACGGUCCAGACUCCUACGGGAGGCAGCAGUGGGGAAUAUUGCACAAUGGGCGCAAGCCUGAUGCAGCCAUGCCGCGUGUAUGAAGAAGGCCUUCGGGUUGUAAAGUACUUUCAGCGGGGAGGAAGGGAGUAAAGUUAAUACCUUUGCUCAUUGACGUUACCCGCAGAAGAAGCACCGGCUAACUCCGUGCCAGCAGCCGCGGUAAUACGGAGGGUGCAAGCGUUAAUCGGAAUUACUGGGCGUAAAGCGCACGCAGGCGGUUUGUUAAGUCAGAUGUGAAAUCCCCGGGCUCAACCUGGGAACUGCAUCUGAUACUGGCAAGCUUGAGUCUCGUAGAGGGGGGUAGAAUUCCAGGUGUAGCGGUGAAAUGCGUAGAGAUCUGGAGGAAUACCGGUGGCGAAGGCGGCCCCCUGGACGAAGACUGACGCUCAGGUGCGAAAGCGUGGGGAGCAAACAGGAUUAGAUACCCUGGUAGUCCACGCCGUAAACGAUGUCGACUUGGAGGUUGUGCCCUUGAGGCGUGGCUUCCGGAGCUAACGCGUUAAGUCGACCGCCUGGGGAGUACGGCCGCAAGGUUAAAACUCAAAUGAAUUGACGGGGGCCCGCACAAGCGGUGGAGCAUGUGGUUUAAUUCGAUGCAACGCGAAGAACCUUACCUGGUCUUGACAUCCACAGAACUUUCCAGAGAUGGAUUGGUGCCUUCGGGAACUGUGAGACAGGUGCUGCAUGGCUGUCGUCAGCUCGUGUUGUGAAAUGUUGGGUUAAGUCCCGCAACGAGCGCAACCCUUAUCCUUUGUUGCCAGCGGUCCGGCCGGGAACUCAAAGGAGACUGCCAGUGAUAAACUGGAGGAAGGUGGAGAUGACGUCAAGUCAUCAUGGCCCUUACGACCAGGGCUACACACGUGCUACAAUGGCGCAUACAAAGAGAAGCGACCUCGCGAGAGCAAGCGGACCUCAUAAAGUGCGUCGUAGUCCGGAUUGGAGUCUGCAACUCGACUCCAUGAAGUCGGAAUCGCUAGUAAUCGUGGAUCAGAAUGCCACGGUGAAUACGUUCCCGGGCCUUGUACACACCGCCCGUCACACCAUGGGAGUGGGUUGCAAAAGAAGUAGGUAGCUUAACCUUCGGGAGGGCGCUUACCACUUUGUGAUUCAUGACUGGGGUG
rnacentral:rRNA from 1 species